rnacentral:rRNA from 1 species
GAUGAACGCUAGCUACAGGCUUAACACAUGCAAGUCGAGGGGUAACGAGAGGAAAGCUUGCUUUCCUUGUUGACGACCGGCGCACGGGUGAGUAACGCGUAUCCAACCUGCCCCCAACUAGGGAAUAACCUUGCGAAAGUAAGACUAAUACCCUAUAAUUUCCUCAGAUGUCAUCUGACGAGGAAUAAAGAUUUAUCGGUUGUGGAUGGGGAUGCGUCUGAUUAGCUUGUUGGCGGGGUAACGGCCCACCAAGGGAACGAUCAGUAGGGGUUCGAAGAGGAAGGUCCCCCACAUUGGAACUGGAGCACGGUCCAAACUCCUACGGGAGGCAGCAGUGAGGAAUAUUGGUCAAUGGGCGGAAGCCUGAACCAGCCAAGUAGCGUGCAGGAUGACGGCCCUAUGGGUUGUAAACUGCUUUUAUACAGGAAUAAAGUUAGCCACGUGUGGUUAUUUGUAGGUACUGUAUGAAUAAGGACCGGCUAAUUCCGUGCCAGCCGCCGCCGUAA